GAUGAACGCUGGCGGCGUGCCUAAUACAUGCAAGUCGAGCGAACAGACGAGGAGCUUGCUCCUCUGACGUUAGCGGCGGACGGGUGAGUAACACGUGGAUAACCUCCCUAUAAGACUGGGAUAAUUUCGGGAAACCGGAGCUAAUACCGGAUAAUAUAUUGAACCGCAUGGUUCAAUAGUGAAAGACGGUUUUGCUGUCACUUAUCGAUGGAUCCGCGCCGCAUUAGCUAGUUGGUAAGGUAACGGCUUACCAAGGCAACGAUGCGUAGCCGAACUGAGAGGGUGAUCGGCCACACUGGAACUUGGACACGGACCAGACUCCUACGGUAGGCAGCAGUAGGGAAUCUUCGGCAAUGGGCGAAAGCCUGACGCAGCGGCGCCACGUGAGUGAUGAAGGUCUUCGGAUCGUAAAGCUCUGUUAUUAGGGAAGAACAAAUGUGGAAGUAACUAUGCACGUCUUGACGGUACCUAAUCAGAAAGCCACGGCUAACUACGUG
rnacentral:rRNA from 1 species